rnacentral:rRNA from 1 species
AUGAUAGAAAAAGUGGUUCCAGGAAUAAAGGAAGUUUGGCCCGCAGAUGAUACUAAUCCAAUAUUGAUCCAGCAAGAUAACGCCAAAACACACAUUCUUCCCGGUGACGCAGAGUUUGCAGAAGCUGUGGCUACAACUGGUUUGGACAUUAAAAUAAUAAACCAGCCUCCAAAUUCUCCUGAUCUAAACGCACUUGAUCUUGGAUAUUUUAGAUCCCUUGAGUCUUUGACCGACUACAGAGCACCAACGACUAUCAAAGAACUGAUUCAAGGUGUGCAGGAAGAAUUUGAUGAGUAUGAUGCCGGGAAACUCAACAGAAUAUUUCUAACACUUCAGACCGUCAUGGUCAAAGUGAUGAACCAUGGAGGAGAAAAUUCAUACAAAAUUCCACAUAUGCGCAAGGAGAGAUUGGAAAGGCAAGGAAUCCUACCGCCUAGGAUUCACUUUCCCCGUGAAGUUUAUGAAAAUGCCAUGGAGAUUCUAGAACAAGAUGUCUAG